UAGAGAACGAAGAAAAUUCGAGAGAUGGGGUAGAAAAUGAUGGAGAUGGAUAAAUGAAUGCAGAAACUGGAGAAACACAACCUCAAAGUGCUGAAAAAAUGAGGCACAAUAGGCAGUGUUUGACGAGAGGACAUGAUAUUAAAUUACACUGAAAUGACGAUGAGAAAAAUGUCAGGACAAAUUCGGUUAAUAUACAAUUGGAAAGUAUUAAUUUUGGCUUCUAACCAUUUGUAUGCCAUAUGUAGUAAACAGAUAUGUUUCAACUUCAUUGUGUUUGUAUUUGAUGAAUGGUAUGUGGGCCGCUGCAUAAGCCAUUUGUUUGAAGAAUUACAGUCCAUGGAUGCUAACAAUGUGGCUAAUCAGAAACUUUUGUUUCAUUAGAUUGACUGAAAUUGAAUUGUUAAUUAACUUGAGUAGGAUAUCGCUGCUUUGUGCCCAGGUACUUUCAUUUAUAUUGGAAUGAGAUGACUAUGUUAUGUAGAACAUAGAAGCAUAAUUUAAUCUAUGAGAUAACAGUGUGUUUGAUGAGAUUUUUUUUUCCUUCUCUUCAGCCUAAUAGAAGUACAUGUAGGUCGUAGGAGAAUAAUCAGGAUAAUUGGAUGCAUGUUUCCAUGGUAGCAAUUGAAAGUGCUAUUGAAAAUUUUCCAGUAGUUUGUAAUCUGAACCCCACGAAAUGUGUAAUGCAAUUAUGAUGGACAUGCAUUUAAUAGUAGGACAUGACAUGUAGUUGUUAAUGGUGAUAAAAAGCUUUAUAUGUAAUGUGUAAUGCAAUUAUGAUGGACAUAACAAUGACAUGCUGUAAUAUGUAAUGCAAUGAACUAAUUCUGGCUUAAAUCAUAGAAGAGCAUAAUUUCUCUAAGGUGCCUUAAGGUAGUACCUUAGGUACAUUAAGGUAGUACCUCAUGUGCAUUAAGGUAGUACCUCAUGUGCAUUAAGGUAGUACCUCAAAUUUUUUAUGAUUACAUAACCUACCGAAUGAGUUAGCAAUAAGAAUAUAAUAAUGGCAUGCUGUAAUAUGUAAUGCAAUGAACUAAUUCUGACUUAAAUCAUAGAAGAGCAUCAUUUCUCUAAGGUGCCUUAAGGUAGUACCUUAGGUACAUUAAGGUAGUACCUCAUGUCAUUAAGGUAGCACCUCAUGUGCAUUAAGGUAGUACCUUAAAUUUUUUAUGAUUACAUAACCUACCGAAUGACUAAGUUAUAAAAAAUUUGUAUGUUCUCAUAGGUUACCUUAUGUAAUCAUAAGAAAUUUCAGGUACUACCUUAAUGCACAUAAGGUACUACCUUAAUGCACAUAAGGUACUACCUUAAUGGUCUUCAGGUACUACCUUACUGUACAUAAGGUACUACCUUAACGCACCUGCGAGAAAUGUAGCCAUUUUGUGGCUUCAUAUUUUUAUUAGUUAAUUUCAUGACCUAUUGUAGCAUGACAUUGUUAUGUUCUCAUAGGUUACUCCAACGGUACCUUAUGUAAUCAUAAGAAAUUUCAGGUAUUACCUUAAUGCACAUAAGGUACUACCUUAAUGGUCUUCAGGUACUACCUUAAGGUACAUAAGGUACUACCUUAACGCACCUACGAGAAAUGUAGCCACUUUGUGGCUUCAGAUUUUUAUUAGUUAAUUUCAUGACCUAUUGCAACAUGACAUUGUUAUGUUACCUUAUGUAAUCAUAAGAAAUUUCAGGUACUACCUUAAUGCACAUAAGGUACUACCUUAAUGGUCUUCAAGUACUGCCUUAAUGUACCUCAUGUACUACUUUAACGCACCCGUGAGAAAUGUAGCCAUUCUGUGGCUUCAGACUUUUAUUAGUUAAUUUCAUUACUUAUUGCAGCAUGACACUACCUUAAACCAUAUUCGAUAAAUUUUACUCUCCCGACAAUUUUUCACUCUCAAUAUUUAUUUAAUCAUACUAUUGUUUUCUCAUUUUUCUGGUUAUGUCAAGUUAUGAUGGUUGUGGUUGGAUACGGAAGGUGAUCAUGCGAAGCAAAUAUUUAUUGGUUUUCUACCACAUUUAUUUUUUCUAUAACAACCUGUACAUGGUUUGAAGCACAAAAUUAGCAAAAUGCACAAUCAUUUAGGAACCCUGAGUAGCCCGUGCCAAUGAGAAUGUGCAAUAGUCCUGAACCCUGGUAGAUCAGGAUUUGAAGGGCGCCAUUGCAAACUAUUGGUAUACCAGCAAACUGUUUCUAAUGUAGUAAAUCAAACCAAACAAACCUCCCAACUUACCAAUAACAUUAACAGAAGAUGAUAUGUAAAAGCUUACACAAUAACUAAAUAUGAAAGGAAAGUCGUCAAACAAUUUACUAAUGUGAUUAUGGAAGGAUAAACUGAAACUGCAUCAGUGUACAAACAAAUAGGUUCCAGUCUAUGUUUGUUGUUCUCUUAUGAAAUUAGUACCAUACCCCAUAAUAAACCUAUCACUGUGGAUCACAUCUUACAAUCACAGUUGUUGUCCAAUCAGUCGCCAAUACAACACUGACCAGCACCCUUAACUAUAAUAAAAGAACAAAUACUGAGUGUUGUCCAUGUUCCUACUCCCUAACUUUACAAUAUUGAAGGAAAAAUGAACAGCCCUAUUACAUUGCUGUGACUGCAUCCCAUAUGCUCCAGCAGCAGCAUUACUAGGUACUCUUCCUUUCCCUUACACGUUGGCCAUUCUUGUACAUAAAGUCCUCAUAUUCAGCAUAACCCAACUGCCACUGUUACAAUGGGAUGUGGAAUACUUCAUCAGAUACAUCACAUAUAGAACAUAAAUAAUGGUUUUACAAUUGGAACAAAUCACAUCAGCACACAACAUGAUAUGAGUUAAUAAAUUUUGGACAAACUAAAAUCAACCCUUGGUCAUUUUGGUACGUAGCAGCAGAUAGGAAGAAACUUAUCAUGAACUAUGAAGUCACAAAUGACAUGCGGCCAUGAUUGUAUCUCUGACACUGUUGCGUUCAUUGAGGACUAUUUGCAGCACUAGCUGGAGUCUGUACAUGUUCGUCUUGUCCUACGGAAAUGGGAAAAAAUUAUUCCAUGCGGUUAGGAAAAUAGCACUCAAAUCAAAGGACAAAUAUGCAGAUAAUUAAAUGAAACAGGUCAGCUGACACUGAUAUUAGCAACCAGCCUCUGAAAAAUGCCACCAAAUGAUGCCACUCAUUCAAAGUAUUUAUUUUCGGAUAAUUAAAUGAUGCCACCAAAUGAUACAUGGGAACACAAACUGCAGUAUGGUUGAAAUGACUUAAGCAAUGUAAUCUUACCAAAUACAUGGGAUUUGAGUAAAUACCAUUAAAACAAGAUGUGGUGCAAACAUAGUUUGGACUUUGUGAAAGAACUGAAUCAGCAGAGAAAUAUAAUGUAACUCAAUGAACAUUGCAGGUGAAUGGAAAGGCACAAAACAUUCAAAUAGUAACGAUGAUUGGGUGACAACCAGUUAGUUGAAAUAGAGUAAUACAAGAUCAGCAUAAUGCAAUAAGUAGACAGAUAUGCAUUUAGGGCAAAGGAUUUUUGCAGGUUUUUCUGUUGUGGCCGGACAUAUGACAACGAGAGCAAUAAACAGGCCGUUUAUCUUGAAAUUGAGACUCAAUGCGCUUCUUCCUUGGCCUUCCGGGAGGGCGCUUUGUAUGUGGAGGCUUUAGAGAGAAGAACACCUCCCCGGUGAUAGAUCGAACCAAACCAUCAUCGUCCACAGUAGGCAUGUCAUGGGUCUCUAUGCCGGAGAAAGAGCCCCCAUAUAUCAACUCUUGCAUUGGGUAUUUGUAGCAAUCAUCGACGAAAUCAGUAACAUUUUGACCAAUGGAAAUAAUGACGGCUGUGGCAUGCUCACAAGGGAUUCCCAACAUCUGCCAACCCCUACAAGUGCAUGUAUGGUUUAAAAUGUCUACAUUCAACAAGGCUCUCCCAAUACAUACCCCAAAUACUCCAUUCUUGAAUGGUGUGACUGGAUACACCGCACCCUUUGCAAUAUUUUCCUGCACCUUAGCUUCAAUUUUUGGCCCUAUACACCCUUUCCAAUUCUUAGACUCUUCUUGAUGCUUCACAAGCAUAGAAGCUAACUUGGACAUGUGCUCCAAUAAAAAGUUACAAAGAGAGUGAUGUCUUUCAAUCCGUAACCAAGCAUUAAAUGACUCAGCAAGGUUCGUAGUCAUUUUAUCCCAUCUUUGUUUUGGGAAUUUUGACAUGGCCCAAUGGUGCGGCGCAUUUUCUUCUACCCAUGUGGCUAAAGCCUCGUUGUAUUUUUUUAGUUCAAACAUGGAAACGUUAUAAUCAUGUUCUAGCCUUCCAUACGCAAUGCUAUCUAGGAAUUGCAAUGCAUUUUCUUUACCCUUGUUCCCUCGUGUGUUAUACUUGGACAAGAAACUACUAAAAUUCUCCUUCAAGUGACGGUAGCAAUAAGCAUGGUUUUCAAUGCCAAACACCUCAGGGACACUACGAAGCAAAGCAUGAUGUCUAUCUGAGAUAAUAAUAACUUCCUUGUUUCCCACAACUAUCUUCAGUUUUUCCAAGAACCAUAACCAAUCUUCAUAAUUUUCCGAGCUCAUCACUCCAAAGGCUAAGGGGAACAUGGAGUCAUUAGCAUUGUAAGAGGUGGCUAAAAAUAGAGCACCGCCAUAAGGCCCACUCAUAUGGGCCGAAUCAAUUGCAAUGAUUGGUCGACACCCCCUUACAAACCCUUCGAUAGAUAUUGAAUGAGCAACAAAAAGCUUCUCAAAAUGGUCAUCAUUGGAAUAACUCAGCUCAACACUCGAUCCCGGAUUUGUUGCAAGCAUUCUUUCACACAUCCAUGGCAACAAUUUGUAAUAAUUCUUGGGUUGUCCAUAAAUGCGCUCCUUAGCCUUCUCCUUCAUUUGCCAUGCUUGUAGGUAAGUUAACUGGAUGCCAUGUUGCCUUACAAAGUCCUUACAAAUUUGGUGUGGUUGGUAUUCAGGAGUAGAUCGAAUGACAUCAUCAAUGACCAACGAUGCACAAGUGGAUCUCACUAAAGGCUGAGACAAGACAACAUCUUCCAAGCAAUGGUUAUGCACAUUUCAGAAUGUGUGUACUUGAACAAUGUUUGAAUCCUCUAUUGCACGCACGGUGAUUUUCCAAGGACAAUCUUCAAUUGUGCAUACUACGGUCAUGUGUUUUAGACUAUUCCUUUUGUAAGAAUAUCGAAAUUUUUCAGCCAAAGACAUCAAAUAGAUUGCAUCUCGAAACUCCGACGUAUUUGGGAAGGUAUGUCCACUACCUACAAUUGAAUGUUCGAACCGGCUUGGUUGAAGUUGAACGGUAUUUUUCAUAGCACAUCUUUGGGAAAACCCAACUGACUGAAUUGUGGGCGACUCAUUAGAGAUGUGUAAUGGGGGCUCGCCAAUAGAGGAAACAUGAGCUGAGUUUGAAGCAACAAUGGGGGUUGGGCCACUGCAAAAAACAUAAGGAAAGAAUUUGAUCAUCCAUCAAUCUAAGUGUGAAAAGCGAUUAUACAAAAGGGAACAUUAUUGUAAAAGGACAUUAGGUACCUAGUAGGGCAAAUGAAGUCAUCACCACAUUCAGUACAUUGGGAGAUGUAGACAUGACAAAACAUGUCGUUGAAUUUGAACAUAUUGACUAUGUCGCCAUCAUUAUGCAGUGGCAAUAGACAUGAUGGGUCAAACUUGACUGUGAAUUCCAAUUUAAUGGAAUUGGAAUCCAAGUUCAGUACACCACAUACUUUUGAAACGAAUUCAGAUUGUGAGAUAUUCUUGCUAACAACACUGCAAUUGGUCCAACCUCCCUUAUAUUCGACGGGCCCAACAACAGUCUUAACAAGCUCACCACCUUCAUGAAUGUAACAAAACAUCUCCUCUUCCAUUUCCUUAUUGACAUAAAGAUUUGUUAAAAACAAUACAACAACGAAAGAUUGAGGAAUUAUGCAUGUUGAUUCCAUAGACUUUAAGGUUCAAACAUGCUAAUUGGCUGAUGCACACAAUUAAGGUUCAAACAUGCUAAUUGGCCGAUGCACACAAGUAGUGUACAAGUCCAACUAUGGUAGUACCUAAGGAUAUCUAACCUAGUACUUAAAGAUUACUAAGGUUAGACCUAAGGUUAAUUAAGAUAGUACCUAUGGUACAGUCUCAAGUAAAGGUACGGGGAACCAAAUGAGCAGAGUAGUCAAACACAUAAUGUCAUGAUAGCUUGUAUGUGGAAGUGAAUACAAUUUAAUUUAUGCAUGACUUGAAAACAACCUGUAGGUCCUAUGUUUGACAAACUGAACCCCAUUGGGUUAACAAUAAAGACAACUUUUAUUCACAUAUGAAUUAUUUGAAUAUUAAAAAAUGAAGUUUCCAGUCGUCACACAACUUGUACCCAAGGUUGGCUCAGGUAGUACCUGAUGUUGACUAAUGCAGUACAUACAGUCGAUUAAGGUCGUACAUUUAGGAAUAAUGAGGUAGUACAUAAGCUUAACUUAUCAGUACAAUAAGGUUAACCAACUGAUCACCAAAACAAACGAUAUAUAGAUAAAAAUGCAUUUCAUCCAUUCUGACCAGCAUUCCCUAUUUUCUAUUUAUGUUAUGAAGGGAAUUAAACCAAUGCAUGGAUACCAAUAGUUCCUAUAUAGCCUUUCCUAUUACCAUCUUCUAAAACGGAUAUCUGAAUCAAUAUCAAUUACUAAUCAACAAGAACAUUAACAUAUAGUAACCAUACAUAUGUUACUAUAUGUUUGAAGAAAUGGGACGUGAUUUGAAACUAUACAUAUAAAACAAAAACAAAAAAACACAACGAAAACUUUAGCACCCAUCAACCAUCAAUAUCACAAAAACCUAAAAAACUGAGUAAUUUGGAACAACUUUCCCAUCUAAAAAUCACCAUUUAUUAAGAACUUUUUUCGUUCUCAAAAUGAAAACUUCAUCCCAAAAAAAUGUUCCCUUUUGGUCAUCCACUGCAUAGCUCAAUCCAAAAACACAUUCCAAUAAAUGGGUUUCACUAAAAAUGCAUUGUUUCCCAAUACCUAAAAACACCACUGGGAAAAAAAAUUCCUUUUUCGCUAAUCAAUUCAAAAUAUGUUUUUCUCAGUUCUAAACCAAAACAAAAACAAAUGUCUUUUCCAACGAAACAAUUCCUAACCCAUAUUCUUGCCUUUACUUUAUAUCAAAACAACAGAGUUGCGAUAAUUUGUCAAUCCAAAUAAAACAGUACAAAAUCAGAUUUGAAAAAGACGAUGAUGAUUCAUUACCAACAGAUUUAAAAUUUCAGUACCAACUCCUAAAUGCCAACAUUUCAGCCACGCCUGGUUCAGAAAAAACCCACACAAACAGCAGAUUUUCAUGAAUGAGAAUGCGAAUGCAAAACACGGAACGAAUGGCUUACCUCGACAGAGAAAAUCUAAGAUGUGACAAAUCGGAUUAAGGCCUUCUCAACUGAAAUCUGCUUCGCCUCGGUGACGAAGUGAAGAAAUAUGAGAGGAAUGGGUAUCAAAUCAGAGAGGGGGAAGAAAGAACCCUCGGCUACCCUAUUUUUAUGGGAUUUUCUGCUUCGCCUUGGUGACCGAGUGAAGAUAGAUGAGACGAAUGGGUGCCAAAAUGAGAGAGAGGGAAGAAAGAACGGUCGAUCGGCUAGGGUUUUCUUGUGGGAACCUCUGCUUCGCCUUGGUGACGGACUGCAGAAAGAUGAGAGGAAUGGGUACCAAAUGAGAGAAAGAGAGGAUGAACGGUCGGUCGCCCAGGGUGUUUUUGUGGGAAGCUCAAUAUUUGAUUUUGCACAAGACAACCGGUUCAGUUUCAACCAGUGCUGAGAUGGGCUGUUGACGUGGAUACCUGGAGGGGCAAUUUCGGUAGAAACAAUACAGCCGGCUCAGAGUGCAUGAAUCUGAUAUAAGUUUCCACAUUAACAGAUGUUUUUCUACUUUCACAAACCUGGGUUCCAAAAACAAUAUUAUAACCAUAUUGGCCCAUGAAAACACAACUUUCCCAAAAUAGUUUUGGCCAUUGGAUGAAGAUGGUUCAAUCCAGAUUGUCCAAUUGGCUUAUUUAUUUUUAAAAAUUUUAAAAAAAAUAAAAAUAAAAUAAAAGAGAGUUGUCGGUCACCUUGAUUUCCCGCUUUUAUCUUGCUUAAUCUUGUCCAAAGACAAAAAUUUGUUUGAUGGGUAUUACACUUGACGCUUAUUUUCGGAGAAGUGAGCUAUUGAUUGAUGGGCAUUACAAUUUUUCUCGGAUUUUAGAGAGUUAAGCUUUAGAAAUUUGAGGGUAUGGAGAUGGAAUUUUCUGGUGAAAUGAGACUUUACAGAGAGAGUGAAGCUGAGUGGGGAUUUUGAAGGAGAAAUCAGAGAGGAGAAAUCAAUAAGAAAAGAAUCAGGUGGGCUUUGGCGGAGUAUCCGAAACCAAUCUCCCCCUGUAGGCAACUCUACCCACUCUCCCAGAAUAGGAACUUCACUCAUCUUAAUGUUAUAUGGUAGUGAUUGAAAUGUUGAAAAAGUUCGACGAUAUUUCUUAAAAAGACAAUAUUUUUAUUGAUUCGAAAAUAUCUAUUUUUUUGGGAAAUUUCCUGAUAUUUCCUACCAGUCUAAGUUGCGCACAAACACGAUAUUUUGAUCGAUUAAAAAAUAUCGUCGAAAUUUUGGUAUUUUUACCAAUUUUUUUUUUGGGAAAUUUCCCGAUAUUUCCUACCAGUCCAGGCCACACACACGAUACAAAAUUUUUCCAUUUUUUUAAAAAAAAACAUAAGAUGCUAUUUGGUAAUCUGAUCAUGAUUUGCAAGCAAAGGUUGUGUUUUUUAACUUGACUAAAAAAUCGUGGAUUUAGGGUUUGUGAAAUUUAAAUCGAAUGGCACAAAAGCAAAGAGACCCCUAAAACAAAUCCAAAAAACAUAGGGAGCAAAAAAUAAAUUUUUUUUUUUUUUUUUUUGUUUUCCUUGGGGGACCCUUACAUGGAUUUUCUCGGAAAUCAAACGAACAUGAAUGUUCCCGAAAAUUGAAUGGAGGAUGGAUUUUGUUGGGAAUCAAACAAGGGUUGAAAAAAAAAUGAUAACAUGAUUAGAUUAGUACUUGCGAGGAUUGAGAGUGGCAGAGUAAAAUGGAGCCUUUUUAGGGAUUCUCUCGUUUGGAGGGCAACUUCAAAAAAAGGCUUCUUGAUGCUCGAGGCCCCAACUGAGAGAAGUGGUAAAAAUAGGGCUUUUUUAGGGAUUCCUCUUUGUAUAUAAAUAAUUAGUAAUUAUCCAUGUGUAUUUUGAUUAAAUCUUUACUAUGGAUUGAACUUUCAAAUUUUAUUACUAAUAUUUUAUGAAUUAAAAUUAAUUUGGUAAGAUAAAUUAUUAAUAAUUUUAAUUAUUUAAAUACAUUAAUAGAAAAAAUUGUUAUCACAUAUUUUUAAUAAAUUUUUAAAAAUUAAAUCUCAAAUAAAAUAUUUUAUAUAAAUUAAUUUAACUUUUCAUUUCAAAUGUAAUAAAAUUCUAGACUUUUGAACGUUUUAGUGUUAGAAAUAAUAAUGCAAUUUGAACCUAACUCUAUCAUUUUUAAAAAGUCCCUUAUUACCACUAAAGUACCUUGAUAUGAUAUAAAAUACCAUUUAUUAGUGUUAUAUUGUUUAUUUGAAAUUAUGAAUGUUAACUUGUGUAUAAAAUAAUAAUAAAAAUUUGAGGGACAAUAACAGAUUUUUUUUAAAAAAUAAUUGUGUGUUUCUAAUUAAAAUUUGAUUUGUUCAAAUUUUUAAUUAAAGUAUGAGUAUAUGUUUGAUUCAUGCCCAAUUGGUGUCUCAACUGAUUCGUGUCCAGCUGGUGCACCUUGAUAGAGGGAGUAAUCAACAAAAUUUAUAACCUAUAACACCAUAUACUAGGGUAGCAAAGAAAAAGCUACUAUAGUAUAGCGGCUCUAGGAUCGUUCACUGGGAAGGAUUAGCAAGCUAUCAAUGAUACCAAUUCCAAGUGAAUUGGUCUUGUUUCAUUUCAAUGUUAGCUUAAGAAAGAAAACACAAACUUUGAUUGGUAAAGAUUUAAACUAACUAACAUAACAAGUACUCGGAAUAACUUAGGAAGAAAAGCAUUCCUUGGAGAGUUAGGUUCACUGGGGUGGUUCCUCAUGCAAAAGACAUAGCUCCGGUCAGAUGGUUUCUUUCCUCGCAUUAGAGAUUCAACAUAUAUUCAAUUCUCUAACCGGUGCUGUACAGAUACCUCCUUCAAUUAGAUUUCACUUUAAUUCUCUCACUGAUGCAACUUGCAAUGAUUUAAGCCUCUCACUAAGCCGUAACCAUUCAAGGUGAUCUUUAACCUUGGAUUACCCGUCAAAAGCUCGCAAGAGAUAACUAAUGGAUGUCUCCUUGGAGUCCAAAAGCUUACCAAGUGUUGGCUAUUCUAGAAAAUCAUACCUUCAAGUCACCUCCCAAAGGCUCGCAAGGGGUAAACUAGUGCAUUUCCAUGGUUGGAAAUCACUUGCCUUACCAAGUGUUGGCCCAGGUGACUCUAAGGUGUUUUAAGUUAACUAAAAACAUAGAAAUCACUAAAGGAUUUCACUUCCUCUUCAUUAAUAGCUAAAACCACAAAGCUUUGCAUUCUUGCACUUGGAACCUUCCCCGACAACCUUAGCUCCAAGGAACUAGAGAUUUAGUUACUCAUUCUCUGGGGAAAACUCCUCAGAGAGUUCAUAACUUAGUAAGAAAAUAAAAAUACAAAGUGAGAAGGUAAGGCAAUACAAAGAACUGAACUUUACUUGCUUACCCAAAACUUUACAAAAGGAUCUCCUCCUCUUGAGAACAGGCUCCCGAGAGGUAUAUAUGAACAUAAUAUAAAAUUAAUUAUUACAUAGAUAUUUUCUCUUUUUUACUAACUUAAAAGCUAAGGAAUCUUGUAAUUGGUGGCUUACAAGGAGUAUUUUGGUAUUUAGACAACAAAAAUCUAAUGUAAAAUAUCUCCCAAUGUCGGUAGCAGAUAUCGGGAUGCUCCAGGAACCAUUUCGCAAGAGAAAAUGGUGUCUGCGAGAUUUCGCAGACACUCAAGAGGGCUGCGAAAUCAUUUCGCAACAACAUGCUAUCUUCGCAGGGCUGCGAAGUUGGCUUCCACCUUGAGGUUCCCAGCUUCCCUCUCGCGGUAUAUGUCGGGCAUCUUCAGGAGGAAAUACACCCUACUGUACAAAAAGGCUGCGGAAUCACUUCGCAACAAAAGGGUGAUUUCGCAACACUUUGCAAAAUGCUUCCUUCAGCUUGGAGUGAUUGGCUUGCAAUGGCUGCAACUUCUUCGUUUCAACUCCGAAUUGCACACCGUUUGAAGCAGUGGAUUGUUGACUUCCUGAGCUUUGAAAUGGUAUAUAGCAUGCAUCAAUUGGACUUCAGAAAGUGCUCCAAAAAUGGCUGCUACGACUGUCAUCAAGAAUAUGCUUCAUGGCAGAUUCUCUUUACUUUUUCUCCUUGCAUUCCGGAUUCACUCUUGGCAAAUGACUUCUAAGCUUUGCCCAAGAUUCCUCAUAAUUCUCCUCAAACUUGAAUUGCUUUGGUGAUCAAAAUACUAACAAAAACACCAAAACUUACACAAAGUAAUUAAAAUUGCUUUCAAGGGUCCUUAACAUGCCAAUUGAGUUAAAAGGCCUAAACUACUACUCAAAAGUGUUUAAAAGGAUUAAUUAUAGGCUAUCAAAUAGCACUUUUUGAGUAGUAAUCAAUGUUACUCAUUAAAAUUAAAUUAAAUUCUUUUGAUCAGGUGCAAAAUGGUACGAUUGAGGAGAACUAAGAAAGUACUAAGGGGUAGAGGACCUUGGCCGCAUUUGGAUACAAUCUUGAACUACAAGAGGGACCCUAGCCAUUCUACAAAUGAACAUGUGGAUCAUGUGGUUAAUAUGUUCAAACGUUUCGAAGAGGAAUAUAUCUUAGAGUCAAACUGUAAAAAACAUAUUCUACAAAUGUCAUUAACAGAACCUGAGAAAAAAGUUCUUGAAAAUAUAUGAGAAUCCAUUGAAGAAGGGCUUCAUGGUUUCACAAAUAGGUCUUUAGAUGACCCAGUAGCUAUUUUCAAGGAACAUUGGGAAAAAUGCUUCGUGAAGAAUGCCAUCAGACGAACAACAGUGUUUUGUAUUUCUCCUAACUUACGAAAUGCAAGAUUUUCAAAUUCUAGUAGGCAUAAAAAUCUUAGAGGGUUAUGGUUAUUGAAAACAACUUCUAGAGUUAUAGAAGACACUGUGUAUAAUCCUAACAUUGUUCCUUUUAGUUCAAAGGAAAAGAUUAGUUUUCCUUCUAUAUAUUACAUUUUCUUUUAUGUUUUAUACAUAACAUGUAAAUAAUUUGAUAUGCGAGACAUGACAUGUCUAUUUAUCUUGUUGAUGUGGCCUCUCUCACAAAAAAAUUCUUUAGCUCGCAUUACUUUGUUAAGUUGUAUGCAAGAUGAUCUCAUGAUUGAGUAUGAGGUAUAUCAAACUUCUCAUGAAAUGUGGGAAGCGUUAAAAGAAAAGUAUGAUGAACUUUCAGCUACGAAGCUAAGAGGACUUGUAAUGAAAUUUGGAAAUUACAAAAUGCGACUGAACCAUUCAAUGAAACAACAUCCUAAGGAGAUGAAAAGAAUGAUAAAAGGGCUUAAAACAUUUGGACAUAUGUUCACUGAUGACCAACAAGUUGAGAAAGUCCAUUACAGGCAUCUCUUUAUAUAUAUAUUGUGGAAAUUUUUUUUAAAGAUAAAAAAAUUUUAAAAUAGCAUAUUCUAAAUUUAAUUUUUUUUUUAUUUUCUAUUUCUAAUCCAACGCAACAUUAUUAUAUUUAAAAAAUUAUAAAUUAUUUGAUAUGAUCUUAAAAAUUGCCUUUUUGUUAUGCCAUGUAAAAAAGAUAAGAUAAAAAAAAAUUUUAAGUAAAUAAAUUAUUUUUAUUUGAUAAUUUAAAUUUAUUUUAAUUAGUUUAACUCAUCGAUCUAAUGAUUAAUAUUUUUAGAAAAAAACUUCAUUUUGUUACAAAUAUUUUCAAACUCAUUGCUGUCAAAUUCAAAACUUAAUUCUUAUCAGAUUUUGUAGGCUACACAUUUGCUUAGUAUAAGAAGAGUUUAUCUUAUUUUGAGCAGUCUUAUUGCAUCUUGACUUAGAAAGCCAAAUAUGUAAGAUUUUAUAUUUGUCACUUAAUGAUUUGAAUAUAGUACAUAGUUUUAAUUAGUUGUAAAUUACAUUCAUAAUGUUGUAUUUUAAAUAAGAGCAAACAAUCAUUUGAGGAGAAUGAUCCCUCUUCAAACCAAAAACGUCCUAUGGGUUCAUGGCUUUAUUAUUUGUAAGAAUAUAUAUACAUAUAUGGUUAAUUCAUUUUGGAUAUUUAUUCAUAUGUUGAAAAUAUAAUCAUUUUUGUGUGAUGUUUUUUGCAGUCGAGAACAAGUACUCGCAAGAAAAUGAGAUAACAAGGAAUUGAUAAUAACUUAUGAUGUAAGAAAAGAAAUGGAUAUUUGCAUAAUAUGUUUUUUAGUCAACUUUUAUACUCUAUAUGAUAACUAACUAAUUUAAUAUUACAUAUGCGAAAAAAGAUUGGAAAAAAGUGGCAAUCCCUUUCAAAUGGAGAAAAAAAAGA
rnacentral:lncRNA from 1 species